AAUUGGAGGGCAAGUCUGGUGCCAGCAGCCGCGGUAAUUCUAGCUCCAAUAGCGUAUAUUAAAGUUGUUGCAGUUAAAAAGCUCGUAGUUGAAUUUCGGGAUCAAUAUUUCGGUCAUGCCGUUGGUAUGCACUGUUAUCAUUGAUUUCUCACCUUCUAAAGAACCGUAAUGCCAUUAAUUUGGUGUUACGGGGAAUUAGGACUGUUACCUUGAAAAAAUUAGAGUGUUUAAAGCAGGCUCACGCUUGAAUACAUUAGCAUGGAAUAAUGAAAUAGGACAUCCGAUUCUAUUUUGUUGGUUUCUAGGAUCGAUGUAAUGAUUAAUAGGGAUAGUUGGGGGCAUUAGUAUUCAAUUGUCAGAGGUGAAAUUCUUGGAUUUAUUGAAGACUAACUACUGCGAAAGCAUUUGCCAAGGAUGUUUUCAUUAAUCAAGAACGAAAGUUAGGGGAUCGAAGACGAUCAGAUACCGUCGUAGUCUUAACCAUAAACUAUGCCGACUAGGGAUCGGAUGAUGUUAAUUUUUUAAUGACUCAUUCGGCGCCUUACGGGAAACCAAAGUGU
rnacentral:rRNA from 1 species